rnacentral:rRNA from 1 species
AACGAACGCUGGCGGCAGGCUUAACACAUGCAAGUCGAACGGGUGUAGCAAUACAUCAGUGGCAGACGGGUGAGUAACACGUGGGAACCUUCCUAGGGGUACGGAACAACUCAGGGAAACUUGUGCUAAUACCGUAUACGUCCGUGAGGAGAAAGAUUUAUCGCCCUUAGACGGGCCCGCGUCGGAUUAGCCAGUUGGUGGGGUAACGGCCUACCAAGGCGACGAUCCGUAGCUGAUCUUAGAGGAUGAUCAGCCACACUGGGACUGAGACACGGCCCAGACUCCUACGGGAGGCAGCAGUGGGGAAUCUUGGACAAUGGGCGCAAGCCUGAUCCAGCCAUGCCGCGUGAGUGAAGAAGGUCUUCGGAUUGUAAAGCUCUUUUGCCAGGGACGAUAAUGACGGUACCUGGAGAAUAAGCCCCGGCAAACUUCGUGCCAGCAGCCGCCGUAA